rnacentral:lncRNA from 1 species
GGGACUGGGAGGGGGGCUGUGGUCAAGCUGUAAAGUGAAUAAGCACAUAAACCAACGAGAAACCAAAAACAGGAUGCUUUAUGAUGGCAACAUGGAAUCACCAGGGAAGACAUGGAGAAGGAGAAAGAGGUCUGGGUCAGAAGAGAUCCUAGGAGUCCCUGUCUCCUGGAAGAAGCCCAGAACCUGCAGUAACUGAGCUCCAUUGAGGAUGAACCUACUGGAAAGAGGGAAGGCAAACUGGAUUGUCUCCUUACUCACAGUGGGGACUGUACAUUCCUCCCUCAAGGCUCAGGAUCAAGCAGGAACAGAUUACAGGUAAAAUCAGCUCAGCAUCACCAGACGAUGAGCUGAGAGGCCCUAAGGAAGAUGAACAAUGCUGAGACCACCAAUAAAAUCAGCAUCUCCAGGAUGUUUCAUUAUCCACGAGCUUCUUCAAGUUAAGGAAGAGGACUACUGUCCACAUCUGCUUUGUAAGCAAAAACUACUCCUUGACUUGUCACCAGUGAUUAUGCAAUUCUAGUGGCAAGUACCAACUCAAAAGUCCCACAAAUUGGUGAAUAAAUCCAUAUGAGAUUAAUUCCUAAUUUUCAGAAAGAAUAUUAAAGAAACAGCAAAUGAAUUUGUCUGAGUAUUUCAAACUUUGUUGCACAUCUAAUUAAUAAGCAAGAUGUAGCACAUGAAAUUCUAUGCUUAGAGAUGCUCACUUUGCUAUUGGAAAGACCAGCAGGUGAUAAUGUCGUAGCAGCCAUUGGCUUGCUCAAAGAAUGCAGCCUCAAAUUAACACAGUGCCACCAGGAGGAGUCAGUGCUCGUUUUGAAUUUCUUUGAAGCAUUCUGCAUGAGUCUGAAAGUGGCAAAGGAGUCCACCAUAUGAUUGAAUUUGGAUUCAAUCCUACAAAAAGAUGGAUUUGAGAACUACUUGUUAUCCUAGAAAGACUUGACUCAGUUUACCCACAUGCUCACUUUGGAGGAUGACUAAUCCAGUAGAUAUUCUUAAUGUUUCCAAGAUGGAUCCCAGUCUUGUAGAGAAUAAAGAAAAGUACAAGCUAUUAAAAAGGAAGAAAAUUUCUAGUGACUGCUCAUGACAAAACUGAAGCUCAUCUACCCAUCUUUUGUCAUAUGACUUGCUACUCAGUCAAGUUUUGAGUUUGAAGGGGACACUUACAGAGUGAACAAAAGGAGUUCCCUGAAAGUCCAAACAGAAGAACACUGUGAUGUGGCGCUUGAUUGCUGUGCCAUCAGAGGGUUUGUGAGAGUCCUUUAGGCUCUAGCUGGGUGAGCUGGCAUGCUGGAAAAGGGGCUCAUGGAAUCAUUUGAAAGACUAUGCAGUGAGCAGUAGGAUACCGCACACCACGUAGAAACAAUCACUGAGAGGUGUGGCUAAGGUGUGUGCUUACAUUUUACACGCCGAUUUGCUUCUCUGGAGUGUACUAGAAUGUACUAAUGUGAAGAGGCCACGGUGUCACCUUGUAGAAUGUUUGUCAAAAUAUUUCCCAGGAACUGUGUAAGCUUCAUGCAAGAUUAAACAUUCUUUGAAGGAUUAGUGCCUCAAGACAAAUGCUUUGGUGUCAACUUUUAUACUUCUAUAGGCCUUAGAGGUUUGACGGAUGGAUUGUGUGAGCAUCUCAGCAAUUCACCUAAGGUCAUUAUGGCACAGAACCAGACGCUGAGCAGAAGAAACCUCCCCUGGGCCUCUUGUGAUCAGUGUUGGCCUCCCUGGAGUCGGAUUCCUCCGA